AAGACUAUAGACCUGCGGAGUACCUGCGGAGGGAUCAUUAGUGAACGCCCUCGCGGGCUUAUAACUAUUCCAAACCUCUGUGAACCGUGCCCUUCGGGGCUAUUUUACAAACAUGGUGUAAUGAACGUCAUAUAUCAUAACAAAACAAAACUUUUAACAAUGGAUCUCU
rnacentral:misc_RNA from 1 species